AUUUGUACAAAUCGCCUUCAUGUAGGGAUUGCAUCUGUUCUUUACAGCUGAAGAGGACACUAGUUGGUUAUACAACGGCCUGAGGUAGAGGGGUUUUAGUCGGUAGGUCCGAGGACUCCUUCCUCGGGAAUCCGACACUACCCAGUCGUACGGACGGUUGGGUGUCUUUUGAAGAUUUUCCCUCUUCCACGAAG
rfam:Agrilus planipennis Contig45236, whole genome shotgun sequence.